rnacentral:rRNA from 1 species
UAUUGGUCAAUGGACGCGAGUCUGAACCAGCCAAGUAGCGUGAAGGAUGACUGCCCUAUGGGUCGUAAACUUCUUUUAUAUGGGAAUAAAGUUUUCGACGCGUGGAAUUUUGUAUGUACCAUAUGAAUAAGGACCGGCCAACUCAGUGCCAGCAGCCGCGGUAAUACGGAGGAUCCGAGCGUUAUCCGGAUUUAUUGGGUUUAAAGGGAGCGUAGGUGGAUUGUUAAGUCAGUUGUGAAAGUUUGCGGCUCAACCGUAAAAUUGCAGUUGAUACUGGCUGUCUUGAGUACAGUAGAGGUGGGCGGAAUUCGUGGUGUAGCGGUGAAAUGCUUAGAUAUCACGAAGAACUCCGAUUGCGAAGGCAGCUCACUGGACUGCAACUGACACUGAUGCUCGAAAGUGUGGGUAUCAAACAG